AUUCUGACUGAUAGAUGUACGAAAAAAAAAACCGUAAAACAAAUUUCUCGAAAGAAUGCAACAUUUUACAUGAAAUGACGAACUAGAUAAUAAGUAAACACGUUAAAUAAGUUGNGACAUGUCAGAAGACAUGCAGCAGGAUGCUGUUGACUGUGCAACACAAGCUCUGGAGAAAUACAACAUUGAGAAAGACAUUGCCGCUUACAUCAAGAAAGAGUUUGACAAAAAAUACAACCCAACAUGGCAUUGUAUCGUUGGACGUAACUUUGGUAGCUACGUAACACACGAGACCAAGCACUUCAUCUACUUUUACUUGGGACAAGUCGCCAUCUUGCUCUUCAAAUCCGGUUAGAGAUGUAAACCAAAUUAUAAAGUACUAGUCACAGUAAUCUUUAUAUAGGACAGACGUAUAUCGCGCAUCGGGUCCAGAGGAACGAAAUUAACACUGCCAGAGUUGUAUUAACCUACGUGAUUGCCGAUUGCGGUAAUUAUUGCCUGUGAAUUUAUGAUGUGAACAAUUUAGAUGAACAUAUUGUUACUUAUUUAUUAUUGUUAUGCCUUGUUUUGUUAUAUUGCUAACGAGUUUAUAAUAAAACAUUGUUAGUAUAA
rnacentral:lncRNA from 1 species